GUGUUUACUUGGCAGUGCACAUGCUAAAAUUGAAACCACACAGUGAUGAGCACGGUCCCUGGGGAAGGACAACAUAAAAAUUCGUGAAGUAUUCCAUAUUUAU